AGACUCCUACGGGAGGCAGCAGUGGGGAAUAUUGCACAAUGGGGGAAACCCUGAUGCAGCCAUGCCGCGUGUGUGAAGAAGGCCUUCGGGUUGUAAAGCACUUUCAGCGAGGAGGAAAGGUUGGCGCCUAAUACGUGUCAACUGUGACGUUACUCGCAGAAGAAGCACCGGCUAACUCCGUGCCAGCAGCCGCGGUAAUACGGAGGGUGCAAGCGUUAAUCGGAAUUACUGGGCGUAAAGCGCACGCAGGCGGUUGGAUAAGUUAGAUGUGAAAGCCCCGGGCUCAACCUGGGAAUUGCAUUUAAAACUGUCCAGCUAGAGUCUUGUAGAGGGGGGUAGAAUUCCAGGUGUAGCGGUGAAAUGCGUAGAGAUCUGGAGGAAUACCGGUGGCGAAGGCGGCCCCCUGGACAAAGACUGACGCUCAGGUGCGAAAGCGUGGGGAGCACACAGGAUUAGAUACCCUGGU
rnacentral:rRNA from 1 species